AGAGUUUGAUCAUGGCUCAGAAUCAACGCUGGCGGCGCGCUUAACACAUGCAAGUCGCACGAGAAAGGGGAGCAAUCCCUGAGUACAGUGGCGUACGGGUGAGUAACACGUGGAUCAUCUACCUUCUAGUGGGGAAUACCCCUGGGAAACCGGGGACAAUACCGCAUGAGCUCGUGAGAGGAAAGCCGAAAGGCGCUGGAAGAGGAGUCCGCGGCUGAUUAGCUAGUUGGCGGGGUAAUGGCCCACCAAGGCGAAGAUCGGUAGCCGGCCUGAGAGGGCACACGGCCACACUGGCACUGAAACACGGGCCAGACUCCUACGGGAGGCAGCAGUGGGGAAUCUUGCACAAUGGAGGAAACUCUGAUGCAGCGACGCCGCGUGAGCGAUGAAGCCCUUCGGGGUGUAAAGCUCUUUCGACGGGAACGAUAAUGACGGUACCCGAAGAAGAAGCUGCGGCUAACUACGUGCCAGCAGCCGCGGUAAUACGUAGGCAGCAAGCGUUGUUCGGAAUUACUGGGCGUAAAGAGUGCGUAGGCGGUGCUCUAAGUUUGGUGUGAAAUCUCCCGGCUCAACUGGGAGGGUGCGCCGAAAACUGGAGUGCUCGAGUGUGGGAGAGGUAAGCGGAAUUCCUGGUGUAGCGGUGAAAUGCGUAGAUAUCAGGAGGAACACCUGUGGUGUAGACAGCUUACUGGACCACGACUGACGCUGAGGCACGAAAGCGUGGGUAGCAAACAGGAUUAGAUACCCUAGUAGUCC
rnacentral:rRNA from 1 species